rnacentral:piRNA from 1 species
UGGAACUGCUGCUUCGGACCUGGCUA